rnacentral:rRNA from 1 species
CAGCAGCCACGGUAAUACGUAGGUGGCAAGCGUUGUCCGGAAUUAUUGGGCGUAAAGGGCUCGCAGGCGGUUUCUUAAGUCUGAUGUGAAAGCCCCCGGCCCAACCGGGGAGGGUCAUUGGAAACUGGGAAACUUGAGUGCAGAAGAGGAGAGUGGAAUUCCACGUGUAGCGGUGAAAUGCGUAGAGAUGUGGAGGAACACCAGUGGCGAAGGCGACUCUCUGGUCUGUAACUGACGCUGAGGAGCGAAAGCGUGGGGAGCGAACAGGAUUAGAUACCCGCGUAGUCCCUGUCUCUUAUAA